rnacentral:rRNA from 1 species
GCAGUGGGAGCACAGGUUUACCUGUGUGACUGCGUACCUUUUGUAUAAUGGGUCAGCGACUUAUAUUCUGUAGCAAGGUUAACCGUAUAGGGGAGCCGUAGGGAAACCGAGUCUUAAUUGGGCGUUAAGUUGCAGGGUAUAGACCCGAAACCCGGUGAUCUAGCCAUGGGCAGGUUGAAGGUUGGGUAACACUAACUGGAGGACCGAACCGACUAAUGUUGAAAAAUUAGCGGAUGACCUGUGGCUGGGGGUGAAAGGCCAAUCAAACCGGGAGAUAGCUGGUUCUCCCCGAAAGCUAUUUAGGUAGCGCCUCGUGAAUUCAUCUCCGGGGGUAGAGCACUGUUUCGGCUAGGGGGCCAUCCCGGCUUACCAACCCGAUGCAAACUGCGAAUACCGGAGAAUGUUAUCACGGGAGACACACGGCGGGUGCUAACGUCCGUCGUGAAGAGGGAAACAACCCAGACCGCCAGCUAAGGUCCCAAAGUCAUGGUUAAGUGGGAAACGAUGUGGGAAGGCCCAGACAGCCAGGAUGUUGGCUUAGAAGCAGCCAUCAUUUAAAGAAAGCGUAAUAGCUCACUGGUCGAGUCGGCCUGCGCGGAAGAUGUAACGGGGCUAAACCAUGCACCGAAGCUGCGGCAGCGACGCUUAUGCGUUGUUGGGUAGGGGAGCG